UUGGAGGGCAAGUCUGGUGCCAGCAGCCGCGGUAAUUCCAGCUCCAAUAGCGUAUAUUAAAGUUGCUGCAGUUAAAAAGCUCGUAGUUGAAUUUCGGGACCAUCAUGUCGGUCGUGCCUCGGUACGUACUGGUAUUGUUGGUUUCUCCCUUCUGACGAACCAUGAUGUCAUUUAUUUGGCGUUGUGGGGAAUCAGGACUGUUACUUUGAAAAAAUUAGAGUGUUUAAAGCAGGCUCACGCUUGAAUACAUUAGCAUGGAAUAAUGUAAUAGGACGUUUGAUUCUAUUUUGUUGGUUUCUAGGAUCGACGUAAUGAUUAAUAGGGAUAGUUGGGGGCAUUGGUAUUCAAUUGUCAGAGGUGAAAUUCUUGGAUUUAUUGAAGACUAACUACUGCGAAAGCAUUUGCCAAGGAUGUUUUCAUUAAUCAAGAACGAAAGUUAGGGGAUCGAAGACGAUCAGAUACCGUCGUAGUCUUAACCUUAAACUAUGCCGACUAGGGAUCGGAUGAUGUUAAUUUUUUAAUGACUCAUUCGGCGCCUUACGGGAAAC
rnacentral:rRNA from 1 species